AAUGAACGCUGGCGGCAUGCCUAACACAUGCAAGUCGAACGAGAACUUCGGGUCUAGUGGCGCACGGGUGCGUAACGCGUGGGAAUCUGCCCUUGGGUUCGGAAUAACUCGACGAAAGGCGUGCUAAUACCGGAUGAUGACGUAAGUCCAAAGAUUUAUCGCGCAAGUAUGUGCCGGCGUGGGAUUAGCUAGUUGGUGAGGUAAAGGCUCACCAAGGCGCCGAUCCAUAGCUGGUCUGAGAGAAUGGUCAGCCACACUGAGACUGAGACACGGCCCAGACUCCUACGGGAGGCACCAGAGCGUGAUAUUGCACAACGGCGUGAGGGCUGAACCACCUCGGACCCGAGAACUCUGUAGUCCGUGAGGUUGUAAAGCGCAUUUACCCAUGAUCGUAAUGACCGUACCGGAACAAUAAGCCCCGGCUAACUCCGUG
rnacentral:rRNA from 1 species